UACGUAGGGCGCAAGCGUUGUCCGGAAUUAUUGGGCGUAAAGAGCUCGUAGGCGGCGUGUCGCGUCGGUUGUGAAAGCCCGGGGCUUAACUUCGGGUCUGCAGUCGAUACGGGCAUGCUUGAGUUCGGUAGGGGAGAUCGGAAUUCCUGGUGUAGCGGUGAAAUGCGCAGAUAUCAGGAGGAACACCGGUGGCGAAGGCGGAUCUCUGGGCCGAUACUGACGCUGAGGCACGAAAGCGUGGGGAUCAAACAGG
rnacentral:rRNA from 1 species